rnacentral:rRNA from 1 species
AUGCUCCUCACGAAGCCCCAGCUCUCUUCCUCCCUGCUCGCAUCCACGCCGCUCUUUAACCCCACAUCCAAUCCCAACCACGCCAGGCCAAUCGCCGCCUCCCCCUCCCCCCGCCGCCGCCUCCGCAUCUCGCCGGGGGCGACGGCGCUCAGCCGCGUCGACGUGCUCUCGGAGGCGCUCCCCUUCAUCCAGCGCUUCAAGGGCAAGACGGUGGUGGUCAAGUACGGCGGCGCCGCGAUGAAGUCCCCCGAGCUCCAGUCCUCCGUGAUCCGCGACCUCGUCCUCCUCUCCUGCGUCGGCCUCCGCCCCAUCCUCGUCCACGGCGGCGGGCCCGAGAUCAACUCCUGGCUGCUCCGCGUCGGCGUCGAGCCGCAGUUCCGCAACGGCCUCCGCGUCACCGACGCGCUCACCAUGGAGGUCGUCGAGAUGGUGCUCGUUGGCAAGGUCAACAAGAAUCUCGUCUCCCUCAUCAACCUCGCCGGCGGCACCGCCGUCGGCCUCUGCGGCAAGGACGCGCGCCUCAUCACCGCGCGCCCCUCCCCCAACGCCGCAGCCCUUGGCUUCGUUGGCGAAGUCGCGCGGGUGGACGCCACGGUCCUCCACCCCAUCAUCGCCUCUGGCCACAUCCCGGUCAUUGCCACCGUUGCCGCCGACGAGACAGGGCAGGCCUACAACAUCAACGCGGAUACGGCGGCAGGUGAGAUCGCCGCUGCGGUAGGCGCCGAGAAAUUGCUACUGCUCACAGAUGUGUCUGGGAUACUGGCGGACCGUAAUGACCCUGGGAGCCUGGUGAAGGAGAUUGAUAUCUCUGGGGUGCGGCAGAUGGUAUCUGAUGGGCAGGUAGCUGGUGGAAUGAUCCCAAAGGUGGAGUGCUGCGUGCGAGCUCUCGCCCAGGGUGUGCACACUGCAAGUAUCAUCGAUGGGCGUGUCCCGCACUCGCUGUUGCUCGAGAUUCUCACAGAUGAGGGCACUGGCACAAUGAUCACUGGCUAA